GGGCCGCACGCGCGCUACACUGACGGAGCCAGCGAGUAUAACCUUGGCCGAGAGGUCUGGGUAACCUUGUGAAACUCCGUCGUGCUGGGGAUAGAGCAUUGCAAUUAUUGCUCUUCAACGAGGAAUUCCUAGUAAGCGCAAGUCAUCAGCUUGCGUUGAUUACGUCCC
rnacentral:rRNA from 1 species